UACAGAGGUCUCAAGCGUUGUCCGGAUUUAUUGGGCGUAAAGAGCGUGUAGGCGGCCAGGUAGGUCUGCUGUGAAAACUCGAGGCUCAACCUCGAGACGUCGGCGGAAACCAUCUGGCUAGAGUCCGGAAGAGGAGAAUGGAAUUCCUGGUGUAGCGGUGAAAUGCGCAGAUAUCAGGAGGAACACCGGUGGCGAAGGCGGUUCUCUGGGCCUGUACUG
rnacentral:rRNA from 1 species